rnacentral:rRNA from 1 species
GUGGGGAAUAUUGGACAAUGGGGGGAACCCUGAUCCAACCAUGCCGCGUGUGUGAAGAAGGCCUUUUGGUUGUAAAGCACUUUAAGCGAGGAGGAGGCUACCGAGAUUAAUACUCUUGGAUAGUGGACGUUACUCGCAGAAUAAGCACCGGCUAACUCUGUGCCAGCAGCCGCGGUAAUACAGAGGGUGCAAGCGUUAAUCGGAUUUACUGGGCGUAAAGCGCGCGUAGGUGGCCAAUUAAGUCAAAUGUGAAAUCCCCGAGCUUAACUUGGGAAUUGCAUUCGAUACUGGUUGGCUAGAGUAUGGGAGAGGAUGGUAGAAUUCCAGGUGUAGCGGUGAAAUGCGUAGAGAUCUGGAGGAAUACCGAUGGCGAAGGCAGCCAUCUGGCCUAAUACUGACACUGAGGUGCGAAAGCAUGGGGAGCAAACAGGAUUAGAUGCCCUUGUAGUCC